AACGGAGCAAACUACAACCAGCAGCGGACUGAGGGCGGCUCUGCUGGGCAGCGUGGUGCCCUUGGUUCCCCAGCAUGGCCCCCUCGGCCUGGGCCAUCUGCUGCAUGCUGGGAGGACUCCUGCUCCUCGGGGGCAGCCCCAGCCCUGGCCCCAGCGUGCCUCGCCUGCGGCUCUCCUACCGAGAUCUCCUGUCUGCCAACCGUUCUGCUGUCUUUCUGGGUCGCCGGGGCUCCCUGGACCUUCGGGCCAUGUACCUGGAUGAGUACCGGGACCGCCUUUUUCUGGGGGGCCGUGAUGCCAUCUACUCUCUGCGGCUGGAUCAGUCAUGGCCGGAUCCCCGGGAGGUCCUGUGGCCACCACAGCCAGGACAGAAGGAGGAGUGUGUUCGCAAGGGAAGAGAUCCUUUGGUGGAGUGCGCCAAUUUUGUGCGGGUCCUACAGCCCCACAACCGGACCCACCUACUGGCAUGUGGCACUGGGGCCUUCCAGCCCACCUGUGCCCUCAUCACGGUUGGGCAUCGUGGGGAGCACGUGCUCCACCUGGAGCCCAGCAGUGUGAAGAGUGGGCGGGGGCGGUGUCCACAUGAGCCCAGCAGUCCCUUCGCCAGCACCUUUGUAGGUGGGGAGCUGUACACGGGCCUCACGGCUGACUUCCUGGGGCGCGAGGCCAUGAUCUUCCGGACUGGGGGUCCCCGACCAGCUUUACGUUCUGACUCUGACCAGAACCUCCUUCACGACCCCCGGUUUGUGAUGGCCGCCCGGAUUGCCGACAACUCUGACCAGGAUGAUGACAAGGUGUACUUCUUCUUCUCGGAAACUGUGCCCUCGCCCGAUGGUGGCCCAGGCCGUGUCACGGUCAGCCGCGUGGGCCGUGUCUGCGUGAAUGACGCCGGUGGCCAGCGAGUGCUGGUGAACAAAUGGAGCACCUUUCUCAAGGCCAGGCUGGUGUGCUCAGUGCCUGGCCCUGGUGGUGCUGAGACCCACUUUGACCAGCUGGAGGAUGUGUUCCUGCUGUGGCCCAGCGCAGGGAAAACCCUUGAGGUGUACGCCCUGUUCAGCACAGUCAGUGCUGUGUUCCAGGGCUUUGCCGUCUGUGUGUACCACAUGGAGGAUAUCUGGGAGGUCUUCAGGGGACCCUUUGCCCACCAAGAUGGUCCCCAGCACCAGUGGGGACCCUAUGGGGGCAAGGUGCCCUUCCCUCGCCCUGGAGUGUGCCCCAGCAAGAUGACAGCGCAGCCAGGACGACCCUUUGGCAGCACCAAGAACUACCCAGAUGAGGUGCUGCAGUUUGCCCGAGCCCACCCACUUAUGUUCUGGCCCGUGCGGCCACAGCAGGGCCGCCCUGUCCUUGUCAAAACGCACCUGGCCCAGCAGUUGCGCCAGAUUGUGGUGGACCGCGUGGAGGCAGAGGACGGGACCUAUGACGUCAUCUUCCUGGGGACUGACUCAGGCUCUGUGCUCAAGGUCAUCGCCCUCCAGGGUGGGGCCUCCACUGAGUCUGAGGAGGUGGUUUUGGAGGAACUCCAGGUGUUUAAGGUGCCGACACCCAUCACUGAGAUGGAGAUCUCUGUCAAAAGGCAAAUGCUGUACGUGGGCUCGAGGCUGGGCGUGGCUCGGCUGCAGCUGCACCACUGUGAAACCUACGGCAGUGCCUGUGCUGAGUGCUGCCUGGCCCGGGACCCAUACUGUGCCUGGGACGGUGCCUCCUGUACCCGCUACCGGCCUGGCACCAGCAAGCGCCGGUUCCGCAGGCAGGACAUCCGGCAUGGCAACCCUGCCCUGCAGUGCCUGGGGGAGAGCCAGGAAGACGAGGCUACAGGCCCCAUGGCGGCCACCACGGUCUACGGCACGGAGCACAACAGCACCUUCCUGGAGUGCCUGCCCAAGUCUUCCCAGGCUGCUGUGCACUGGUUCUUGCAGAGGCCAGGGGGUCAGGGACCCGACCGGGUAAAGACAGAUGAGAGAGUCCUGCAAACAGAGCAGGGGCUGCUGUUCCGCAGACUCAGCCAUCUGGAUGCGGGCAUCUACACCUGCAAGACACUGGAGCACGGCUUCUCCCAGACUGUGGUCCGCCUGGCUCUGGAGGUGAUUGUGGCCACACAGCUCAACGGCCUGUUUCCUCGGGAUCCAAGGCCAGAGGAGACCCCAGGCUGGGGAGGCCUGGCCUCCACCCCCUCCAAGGCCUGGUAUAAGGACAUCCUGCAGCUCAUCGGCUUCGCCAACCUGCCCCGGGUGGACGAGUACUGUGAGCGCGUGUGGUGCCCUUCCAGGAGCCGGGGCAAACAGGCCAAGGGCAAGAGCUGGGCAGGGCUGGAGCUGGGCAAGAAGGUGAAGAGCCGGGGGCAGACCGAGCGCAAUCGGACGCCCCGGGAGGUGGAGGCCACAUAGAAGAGGGUGGAGGAGAGGGUGGUCGGGAUGGACCAGGUGGCCCAGAAACCCCCAGAGUCUCCCACCCACCCAGCUAGGGCUAAGGGGAGGGGGCCAGCAUGCCUGACUGCCUCUUAGAGGCGGGAGUCUCUGCCCCCCAUACUUCUACCAGGCUGCCCACAGGAAAAGCUGGGGCUUGAUGGAGGGCCCUGUGUCCAAGGCCUGUUCCUGCCCCUCUGUGCUCUCAGUCCUAGGCUGGAGCCAGCACCCUCUGUCUGCUGCCAACCCCAGUGGGCCUGCUGUUUGUUUUCAGACAUGGUCCCCAGAGCACAUUUCCGGCUGUGCCCGGAGGUGAGAGGCCUGGGUGGUUCUUUCCCAGCCAGCAGAACAAUGGCCAUUCUGAAUGACCCUUGGAGUGGGCGUUUGGGUGCGUCUGAGGAGGUGUCUGGGCAAGGGGCCCUUAGGCAGCCAGAGGAGGAUGGAAGUUGCCUCUAUGCUAGCACCCAUUAAGAGGACCUACUGUGAGUUGGGGCAGGGAAGGGGAGGGGCAGAGAAGGUGGAACAGCAAGCCCCUCCCCCCACUUGGGGUGGCUCCCUGCCACUGCCCACCACUUCUUCCCCAUGACAGAGUCAUAGAAGCAUUGACAGCCAGAGCUCCCCGGGCCCCUGGUCUGGGUCUCAGGCACUACUUCAUAAACCAAGCAGUGUCUCUACAGCCUGACUUCUCUUCCUCAGACCCCAAGCUGCCAGGCCAGAUUUCCUGGGAUGCCCAGACCUCUGAUGGGAGUCCCCCUCCCCACCAUCAGGGGCUGCAAGCUGAUGAAGGGAGAGGGGAAGAAAAUAGAAGGAAAAAAAAGCUGCUAAAUCCUGCUUGUUCUUGGAGGUGACGCUCAGGUGGCCAGGAUGCAUUUUGUCUGGGUGUGUAGGGAGGUGUUUUUGCCAACAGCAGGGAUGUGUUUCUUGGGCUGGGGAGCACAGAGGGGGAGGAGAAGGAGGACUAAAUGAAAAGUCAUUCCCAGACUGCAUAUGAGCAAGUUAAUGACGCACAAAACUGACAGGAGGGGACAAGAGCAUCAGGUUUGAGAUUCCCUCCAUGAGAAAAACUAAGAUGAAGAAAGGAGGGGGAAAAACAGAUAAAAAAGCAGGACAGGGUUUCCUGCUCCACUGAACUCAAACCCAGACUGUACAUCUACAUUGGAUUUUACCUGAGUCACCCCACCACGCCCAGAGAACUGGGAUCUAAAAUAGGCCCCCUUUCCUCUUUGACUUCACAGUAAGUUAACCAGAGGCAUGGAGAUUAACCUUGGGAAGCCUCAGGUUUGGGGUUGCUGUGGCUGGGAAGUCAGCAGGUAAAAGCAAAGGAGAGGACUGUGGGGGUAGGGGGCUGGAGAAGGGCAUGGAGGGGGAGGUAGAGGCCAUGGAAGAGGGAGAGGAAAGAGCACAGAGCCCUGGGAAUGGGUGUAUAGAGCUGCAGCCCCUCUAUCCCAGCAAAGUCAGGAAGAAAUGACCAGCCAGGCUCUCAGUGGCCUCUAGGUUGGACCCAGGCAUGGCUGGCUCCAGGCAGGGUUCUCUGGGGAAGUUACUCUAGAUAAUGGAGGAGGAGCUCAAAAUCCUGAACAACGAACAUCUGCACUUAGAAAAUUAUGGACAGUUUCUGCCAACUCCCCACACCUCCCACCCCCAUGGUACUGUGUGUUAUUGACUCCUGGAAAUGCUUCUAUGUGUGAAUUCUAUUUUUAUAUUGGUAUGUUGAGAUCAGCCUUGUGGUUUUGUCUUCAGAGCACACUUCUUGUAAUUACUAUUGUUACUUUUAUUGUCAUGACUGCCUCUGUGCUUUGAUGAGGAUAUGAGGUAGUCUACCGCAUAGACCUAUAAGGAAAGCGAUGGAGUUAAUAUUUACAUCACAUAAUUAUAUCAUUAUUGUAUCUCUGUAUUUUUCUGUUCUAAAUUGAUGGAUGCCAUCUAUGUGAGCUGGAAAUGAAGAGCCUUUCCAUCCAUUCCA